rnacentral:rRNA from 1 species
GACGAAGGAUGCAAGCGUUGUCCGGAUUUAUUGGGUUUAAAGGGUGCGUAGGUGGCCUUAUAAGUCAGCGGUGAAAGUCUGCAGCUUAACUGUAGAACUGCCAUUGAUACUGUAAGGCUUGAGUACUGAUGAGGUAGGCGGAAUUGAUAGUGUAGCGGUGAAAUGCAUAGAUAUUAUCAAGAACACCGAUUGCGAAGGCAGCUUACUAAGGAGUUACUGACACUGAGGCACGAAAGCGUGGGGAUCAAACAGG